AAAAUAUCACGAAAUUUAGUUUGUGUAUUAUUGUUACUUACUUUUGAUUACUUUUUGUUAAUAUUACUGUUUGCAGUGCGCAUGUCGCGUUUUGUUUGUUUCUUACUUCACCCCGGCGCCAGCAGCCAGCACCCAGCAGCCGCCACGCAGGUCAGUUGUCUGUGGUGGCUGCUUCCGCCAGGGUGAGUGUGGUGUGGCGGCCGUGUGACAUGGCCCAUGCUGGUUCCCUGCUGUUCCUUGGUAUGUCAUGUAAAGUGGAGCUUUGUGUACAGGUGCAAUACAGACACGUGAUUUGUAGGUUGUAUUGUUUUGUUCCAUACGGCAGAUGCGGAUACGUGUUUGGUAUUGCUCCAGCCGUUCCGUGAAAAUUUGUUUGAUUGUUGUUCGCAGCUGUGGGUGGUCUGCUGCGUGUGUGUGUGUGUGUGUGUGUGUGUGUGUGUGUGUUAACACGUUGUGCCAGGCGCUGAGCUUGCGGGGAAGCUGUGUACCAUGCCUGUGUGAUGUGCCCAGGACUGUGGGCUAUUUACCGCAGCUUGGUCAAUAUUGCCUACCUUCAUGAUGGACAUGCGCGAGGUGUUAGGGGCGUCCAAGUGGAUCCUAGCAGCUGAUCUCCAGACGGUGACCUUGUCCAGUGACCAGCAGUGCGUGACCUUCGUGGUGCACUUCAUGGGCCCCAGCGCAGGUCGUCUUGAGCUGGACUUAUCCCGCGUGCUGGCUGGCCGCAAUCUGGACCCCCCCACCAUCAUCAUCAGGGGCGUGUCCUGACCCGGACCGCCCCAAGAAGCUGCCCUACAGGACCUGCGGGAGCCUGGAGGAGGAGACACUGCUGGAAGACCAACACCCCGUGGGAUCUCAAGGGCGGUGUUGCCGGAGCUGGCCUCGCCUCCGCCCUGCUGCUGCCUCUGCUUCACCUUAUCGCCUGCGAUAAACCCAUCAACAUCAAGGCAUCUUGGUUUUCGCGUCCAUCCCCGCCCCCCUUAGUUCCUCUCACCCUGCAUAGGGGGCCUGUACAUUAUGUAGAUAGGAGGCUAUAAUUGUGUGAAAUUAGAUAUAUUAUGCUAUAAUUGUGUGAAAUUAGAUAUAUUAUGCAAUAAUUAUCUUUAUGCAUAUAUAUAUAAAAUGCAAUAAUGUUCGUUAUGCAUAUAUACAAAAUACAAUAAUAGUGUUCGUUUCCCUUUCCUGGAUGUGAAUACGAUGCCAGCUGUGGGGAGUGGAUAGAGGUUGGCGAGUGCCAGAGUGUGGAAGCUUAAACUUUUCAACAAAACCAUUUUUACUCAAAACGUGCAGUUACUCGUUUCGCUUACAAAAUA